ensembl:lncRNA
AGCCCCUGCAAGCCUCUCCUCAAUUGGUUACACCUCACCAGGCCUGAAGCCAUUUUAUUUGCCCUGGGGCUGCCCUGCGCCGUGCACCCCCAAGUCAGGGGCCAGAGUCCCUCUCUCUGAUCCCCUCCUCCCUGCCAUGUGACCGCCAAACCCUCAGCCCUCCUCUGGGGAGUGAGAGACUCUGGCCUGGUCCCUCAGCUUCACACAUCUUCAGGGCAAAGGACGGAUGGCUGAGCAAGACUGACAUCUCCUGAAUGCCUGAGGCCACCCCGACUGCCCUCCAACCCCACCUCCUAGAUUUGGGUGGCCUCUUCCCUCUCUGCCCCUCCUGACAUCUCUUCCCUCCACACCCCUGCCCUUCCCUGCUCCAGCCAGACUUCACUGGAAUGUCUGGGCUCGGGUCCUGAUGGACCCCAAGGUUGGCAAGGGUGGGGGGGACACAGCCGGCUGGCCAAGCCUUAACAGUGACCGGAGACCCUCCUAGGGGAACUUCCGAGUUAAAUUUCUGCCUGGGGAGAAGUUUACCAGAAUGUACUGAAUGGAGACACCAAAUUCAGGGUUAAACUAGCAGUUCUAACCCGUGACUGCAUUUUAGAAUCACCUGGGAAGCUUUUCCCCAAAACACCACUACCCAGGUCCCACCACAGAUGUUCGGACCUAAUUAAGGCCCAGGCAGCAACUUCUUUUCCCUUUUUCUUUAACUUCUUACUGAAGUAUAACAUUUAUACAGAAGAGCACACAUAAGCCUAAGGCUCUAUGAAUCUUUUUAAAUUAAAUGCACCUGAGUAACCAGCAGUCUGCUGAGGAAACAGUUUUACUCUCCUCCUCUGAGCCCGGGGAUGGUGUUCAGUCACUGUGCCCCAUGGAGGAGAACCAUGCUCUUGGUUUUAGCACCAGGGGAUUCCUUGGCCAGGCGUUCUUUGAGAUCCGCCCAGGUGAUUUCUCCAGAGCAGCUGGGGUCCAGAACACUGGCCUGGACACCUCCACCACCUUGCGCAGCACACUACGGCCCUAGCCUACCCCCAACUAUUUCCCUUGACAAAGAUGAAGAGCUUCAGAGGCACCAAGCUCAACGGUUACUUCUUAAAUUAACAGACACAAGUCCCCACGGCGCCCCCUCUCCCAGGGCUGUCCCCUGUGGCAGGGGCCUCCUGAGCUGGGCCUACUGCUGGUGUUCACCACUAACCCUGGCUGUCUCUGAGAUGGUCCUUCCAGAAACUGCCACGGCUGUCAGGGCUCAGGAACCUGCUACUGCCUCCCCACCCUGGAUGCCAUUUCCCCUCCUGAACUGGAGGCUUUAGGAUGCACCUGCUGGGCGGGGGCAGCCCGGCUCAGGAGGCCUUAUCCUGGGGCUGCAUGGUUAGGAGGCAGCUGCUUUCUCAUAGCGGGCCACGGAAACUCCUCCGCCUCGACAGUCGGGGUACCAUCCAGGGGGCUGGGCUGAGGGACAGGGCGCCCAGCUGAAGGCAGCCCUCUGAGUGCGAACCUCGAGCUCGAGCCACUGUGGUCGGCAGGUUUGGAGUGGCUGGCCCCAGACACCGGGCUUUACCGAGGUCAAGGCAGCCAAGACCGUCACCAUCUCCAGGGCCUGCCAGGGACCUACGUGGGAGAGCAAGCAGGAAGCUGAGCCCAGGCUGCAGAAGGCCCAGUGGGGGAUAAUGGCCUCGACUGAGAAGGAGACUCAACUCAGAACAGCGUGGUGCACAGCGGGCAGGGAUUACUAAGGCCUGGGUGCCCCGGGCCCCUCAGGAAGCGAACACUGGCAGCACGUGGGGGCAGCACACGUGUCUUUUCCAGGUCUGAUCAUUUUAUGGCCUGGCCGUUCCUUCCCGCUACCAGACGAUGCCCCUGCCUUCCAUCCUCACGUUCUACUUGAGAUGAUGAAUGGAGAUCUGUUUGAAGAUGGAGGAGAACGAAAAGGAGGAGAAAAGGAUUCAAGAGAAAAUGAGCUUGCCUCACGGCAUUUUCCUUCGUGCAGAUUUCCUGCGGGAUGUGUGUUGAGCAUAGAAGCGUGUGUAGAGGUAUUGACUGGACCGGCAGCUUUAGCCACGACGUCAUAUUUCAUCUAGUCCCAACCUUUUCAGGUGUUUGCUUAUCUCCCUUUACAAAUGAGAGAACCGAAGCUCAGGGAAAUAGACUGCCCAAAUGAAGCGGUGGGGCCAGAAUAUGGGGCUGGUCUGUAUCCAUCUGGGUGGCAAGCUCUUCUCCAGCCCUCCAGCUCUACGUGGAUGUCAUCUUGCAGGGUGCUCAGCAGACCUGUGCUGGCGUCAACCCUGGAUGUCUGCCAUGGCGUGGGUAGAGGAGACACCGCACCUGUGCUCUGCAGCUGCCUCUCCCACCUGUGUCACGGCACAUGGGCUUCGGGGAACAGAGCACUGUCAUCUUUCUCCAGCAAAACAGCUGCCAGUCUGAACACUGAUUUCCCAGAAGGUCACACAAGGACUCAUGAGCUCGUGUCUGGCCCUGGUUCAAAGGAAAGUUGUUCUGUGAGUCUGGUGCUCUGGAACCAGGCCUAGGCAGCGUUCCCUGGGUGCCACGGCAGUCAUUAGGGAAGCAGAACACCCCCAGGGCCUCGUGGUUGCACUAGGGAACAAAGGGUGUGUGGUUUCUCCCCACCUGUUUGUCUCUCUCUCCCUCCCACUCUUGACUCAAAAACUUAGGUCAAACCAGAGAGCUGAGAACAUCUUCCCACCAGCCCCCAUCCUCUUUGCUAAAAGCCUGCAGUGUAGCUGAAAGCAGCCUGGAGUGAGGAUCUGGCCGGUGGAGGCUGUCCUCUUGGUAGAGAACUUGAGUGCCAGGCAGGGACCCCGAGGCCGCGGGCUUGGCCCUGCUAUGAGAACGGUCAGACCUGCACCCGAAAGCACGUGGCUUCCCCUGGUGCCCCCUCCUGGAUCUUCCUGGAAGCAGCAGCUCUGCCCAGCACCCUGUCCGCUGGGCCUGGCUCUGAGCCUGGUGCUGGCUUUGCACGUGGCCGCCUCACUUGCAGGAACCAUCUCUGUUGCCUUUAGGAAUUAAGCAGCUUAGCCCACACCCAGUUGGUAUU